rnacentral:rRNA from 1 species
UACGGGGGGGGCAAGCGUUGUUCGGAAUUACUGGGCGUAAAGCGCGCGUAGGCGGCCCUUCAAGUCGGGCGUGAAAGCUCCGGGCUUAACCCGGAAAUUGCGUUCGAUACUGUCGGGCUAGAGUGUGGAAGGGGCUACCGGAAUUCCGUGUGUAGCGGUGAAAUGCGCAGAUAUCAGGAAGAACACCAAUGGCGAAGGCAGCUCUCUGGGACGGUACUGACACUGAGACGCGAAAGCGUGGGGAGCGAACAGG